rnacentral:pre_miRNA from 1 species
CUUCACUACCAGUUGAAGCUGCCAGCAUGAUCUUAACUUUCCUCUUGAUGAGGGAUGAUCAGAUCAUGCGGCAGUUUCACCUGUUGUUGGU